GACCUAGCCAUGGGCAGGUUGAAGGUUGAGUAACAUCAACUGGAGGACCGAACCGACUAAUGUUGAAAAAUUAGCGGAUGACUUGUGGCUAGGGGUGAAAGGCCAAUCAAACCUGGAGAUAGCUGGUUCUCCCCGAAAGCUAUUUAGGUAGCGCCUCGGACGAAUACUACUGGGGGUAGAGCACUGUUAAGGCUAGGGGGUCAUCCCGACUUACCAACCCUUUGCAAACUCCGAAUACCAGUAAGUACUAUCCGGGAGACACACGGCGGGGGCUAACGUCCGUCGUGG
rnacentral:rRNA from 1 species